rnacentral:tRNA from 1 species
CUCCAGUUAGCCUAGUGGUCGAGGCUAUGGACCGCCAAUCCGAAGACGGCGGGUUCGAUUCCCGUUCCGGGUG